rnacentral:rRNA from 1 species
AUUGAACGCUGGCGGCAUGCCUUACACAUGCAAGUCGAACGGCAGCACGGGGCAACCUGGUGGCGAGUGGCGAACGGGUGAGUAAUGCAUCGGAACGUACCUUUCAGUGGGGGAUAACGUAGCGAAAGUUACGCUAAUACCGCAUAUUCUGUGAGCAGGAAAGCAGGGGAUCGCAAGACCUUGCGCUGAUUGAGCGGCCGAUGUCAGAUUAGCUAGUUGGUGAGGUAAAGGCUCACCAAGGCGACGAUCUGUAGCAGGUCUGAGAGGAUGAUCCGCCACACUGGAGCUGAGCCACGGUCCAGACUCCUACGGGAGGCAGCAGUGGGGAAUUUUGGACAAUGGGGGCAACCCUGAUCCAGCCAUGCCGCGUGAGUGAAGAAGGCCUUCGGGUUGUAAAGCUCUUUCGGCCGGGAAGAAAUCGCACGGGCUAAUACCCUGUGUGGAUGACGGUACCGGAAUAAGAAGCACCGGCUAACUACGUGCCGGCAGCCGCCGUAAAAC